UUUUUAGUACAUAGUA
rnacentral:sRNA from 1 species